rnacentral:rRNA from 1 species
GAGUUUGAUCCUGGCUCAGGAUGAACGCUGGCGGCGUGCCUAACACAUGCAAGUCGAACGGGGUCUUAGUACGGAAGUUUUCGGAUGGAAGGAUUAAGACUUAGUGGCGGACGGGUGAGUAACGCGUGGGUAACCUGCCCUGUACAGGGGGAUAACAGUUGGAAACGGCUGCUAAAACCGCAUAACAUGGAGAUACCGCAUGAUAUUUCCAUCAAAUAUUUAUAGGUACAGGAUGGGCUCGCGUCUGAUUAGCCAGUUGGCAGGGUAAUGGCCUACCAAAGCGACGAUCAGUAGCCGGCUUGAGAGAGUGACCGGCCACAUUGGGACUGAGACACGGCCCAAACUCCUACGGGAGGCAGCAGUGGGGGAUAUUGCACAAUGGGGGAAACCCUGAUGCAGCGACGCCGCGUGAGUGAAGAAGUAUUUCGGUAUGUAAAGCUCUAUCGGCAGGGAAGAAAAUGACGGUACCUGACCAAGAAGCCCCGGCUAACUACGUGCCAGCAGCCGCGGUAAUACGUAGGGGGCAAGCGUUAUCCGGAUUUACUGGGUGUAAAGGGAGCGUAGACGGUGAUGCAAGUCAGAAGUGAAAGCCCGGGGCUCAACUCCGGGACUGCUUUUGAAACUGUGUAACUGGAGUGCAGG